rnacentral:lncRNA from 1 species
AUGUUGACAGCAAUCCUGAUAUUUUGUAUUUGCAGGAAAUGUAGAAAAACUGAUCAUGAAGCUGAGACUCAUGAAGAUGAGGUCACUUACAUUGAGCCGAUGUUCUACAAAAGAAAAGCACAGACACCGGUGAGUUGUUUAUUAUUUAUUUAUGUUGUGCAUCUGUGUGUCAUUUCAACAGUGUGUGUGCUUGUGCGUGUGACAAAAACACAAAACAGCAGCAUAUUAAAUAUGUAGAAAAGUCAUAAGAUCAGUAUUCAGUGUGCGUGAAACCGUGACUCAUAUUUAAUAACACAUACAACACCCUCUCUACAGUCUAACUAAAGAGUAACACAUCUACAUUAGUAAAUAUUUUCAGUGCUCACUCAUGAAGUAUUUCCUAUGUCAGCGCAUGACAUCACAGUCCAAAUCUUCAGAGUUUCACAUACUGUACAUGCUUUUGCACCUCUUACAAUGCUUUUAGAAAACAACAUGAUGUCACAGACAUACACAAGAUUGAAUUAAUUCUUAAUUUUUUAAAUCAAAAUUGCUAUCUUGUGUUUUUUACAGGAUGUUAAAGAGGAUGAUCAUGUGGAAUAUGCACCUAUCGCCAAGAGAAGAUGAUCAAACACGUAUCAGACCCACUUUGUGACUUUCACAGGAAGCUCCUGUGACUACCUCAGAGUCUGUCAUUUCAUCUCAGCUGUUUAAAACUGUAAUACAAGGAAUUUUAACAAAUUACUUUAAUCUUGUGCACACUGGAACAUUUUCAUGCUUGACUCUUAUAGCCUCUUAAAGACUAGUUUUUACUUUAAAAAAACAACAACAGCAAAAAAAACAAGAAACAUUUUGCAUCUGAUUUUUUUUUUUACAUUCUGUGCAGAUCUUCUGGAUGCUUGACUCUUAUAGCCUCUUAAAGACAGUUUUCUUUAAAAAACUAAACAACAAGCAAAAAAAACAAAGAAACAAUUUUGUCAUCUGAUUUUUUUUUUUACUAUCUGUGCAGAUCUUCUGGUGGACAAACAGUUGUGCUUAAACAUUGCUGAAUGUUUGCGGUUGACAUUUAACACAGACACUGCUAAGGCGUCAUUAGCGUGUGGUUAAAUGCCUUUUUCCAUUUCCAUUUCACAUGAAACUCACAGUCUGACUUUAGCAUUAACUAACCACUUUACCAUGAAAUACUGAAUCUAACAGAUACAUGAUCCUCUCAGAUAAAACAGUAUGUGAUAAAAUAUCAGUCAAUUCAAGUAAAGUCAGAUUUAUUCAUAUAGCACUUUUUUACAAUAGCAAUUGUUUCAAAGCAGCUUUACAGAAAAAUAUGAUGUUAAUGUUUAUAAUAUCGUAAUGCCUCAGUCAUAUUUUGCAGAUUUGAACCAGGAGAUAGUCUACAUUUUUGCAAUGAUGAAGUAGAGUUUUGAUACUGUAUAUACUGACCUACACAAAUAUACUGUAUGCAUGUUUUAUUCUCCAUUAUAAAGAGCUUAUACUCAAAGUCAGGUAGUUAUUUCUGAAAACUACAGAUGUUCUUGAUAUCAAACCCAAAACAGUUCAUAACCUGUUUUUGCAUGUCAGUGUCCAAAAGUCAUUUUAGAAAUAAAUGCAAUGUAUUGUUCACUGCUGUGAUUGUUAUAUCAUGCAGAUGUCUGAUGGUUGUUAUUGACUUAUUUUCACUUUGGGGUGUAAUUAAAUGCUAACAACACUGCUAACAAAAAAAUAUAUUUUUCAGUCGUAUAACAGUGCUGCCAACAAAAAAAGCAAAAUGCAACAGCAACACAUUUUGCAAAGACAGACACUUUUUCAGACAUCCCAAGUCUCCCGGAAGUCCCGGGAGUCUCCCGCAUAAUGAUAGCGGCUCCCUGAUGCCCGCAAAUUAGUUAAAAAUCUCCCAGAAUCUAGAGCGAGCGAGCAAAAGCGCAUGCGAGACAGAGACUGUGUUUCAAACCGUGUAGCGCGCGCACGGCAGAGAGGGAGAGGGAGCGAGAGACCUUGCGUGUGUGUGCGCUAGUGUGCGAAGCGCAUGUAAGACAGAUAUAGCAUCCUGAUUGGCCUGUUUCGGCAAAUCAACCAACCAAUUGUCAGUGUGGGCGGGCUUUUAUCUCUUCUCCCGAACCAAAUUAAUCAGUUAUGUCUAUCUAGAAACAGGAGCACCAUGGCGGAGGGAGAGUGCCACAAAAAAUAAAUAAAUAAAAAAUAAAUAAAUAAAUAAAUAAAUAAAAAUAAAAAACCAAGUAUAAGACACAUUUUACGGCAGACUACACGAAAGUCUAGUCUAGUGCUCGCUGCACUAUUUGUAACAGCGACUUCAGCAUUGCCCAUGGCGGGUUAAAAGAUUGCAAAAGGCAUGUUGAGGUGAGUUGACAUGUUUCAUUUCAUGUGCUUCGGGAUAGAUCCCUGAAAUUACUUUUUGCAGGUUGGGAUGUCUGUCUUUUUAAACUUUGUAAUGUCAUUUUGUCUGAGUCGUCUAUCUAGUGUACAAAAAUGUCAUUCAUUCAUUCCAGGAGUCCACAUCCAUUGUUGUGAUACUGCUGAAGCUGUGAUCCGAUUGGUCGUCACUGCUCUGAAAAUAAAACAGAUCAUAUAGAUAUAAAUAUUCUUGCAUAUAUUGGAGUUUUAAGAAUAAAGAUGGAAAUAUGUGUGGUUUAACUGUUUAGUGAUGGUGAAAGGAAUUUUUGCUGGCAAAUGCUUUCCUCUAAACUUGAUUGGAAACUCGGGGCCAUCUGGUGGCCAAACGGAUAAAAAUGGUUUAAUAUGUCCUUUUUUACAUCCAUUUUUUGUAAAUGGUAACUGCACUGUUUUCUUGACACAGGCGAUAUUAAAAUUAUUGGCGUCUUUUCUUUUAUUAUUUCUGAGGAAGUCUUUGUUUUGAGGCAGCGUCUCUUUGUGUGUGUAUACACACACCAGAACAGGAAGUAUUAAUGUAUCUAUUAUGAGAUAAACACAUAACUUCAUACAUAAUGCUCAGCCU